CGCGGUGAUAAAAUGCUAAUGAACAAAGUUUUGGUGAAAGUGUAUUUUUUGUUAGCGAAAAUAGAAACCGCAUUUUUCUUAUAACCAACAAAUACUGUAAAAUUAUAUUUUUGCAUGCAUACUUAGAAAAAAAAACAUUAUCAAAUUUGAUUUGAAACUAUUGUCUACAACAAUACCAACUCAUUGAUUAUUGUCAUAUUUUAUACUCGUUUGAUAUUCACGCAAUAUUAAUUAACGAUCAAAUAUUAUCUAUUCACACAACAAUAUGGGCGGGAAAAAUAAAAUAAAUUAAAAUAAGAACAAAAAUGGGAAACAAUGAUUUUAAUAGAGCGAAACGCCACAUUGCGUGUCAAAUGUCAAUACGAAGUAAACUGAAUAAAAUUAUAUGUUCGCACAUAGAUUGUAUAAUUAUUCGAAUAAUGCGCAUUAAAGUGAGUUCGUUAAAAAAUUAAAUCAAUGAUCUAGUUAAAGUCAAUAGCGAUCAGUUUUUUCUUUUUAUUUAUUUUUUUGAUUAUAAAAUUUAUAUAAUAAUAAGUAAAAUAAGCAUAAAAGAUGAUAAUAUGAUAUUUGACAUGAUUAUUUUGAGAAGAUUAGUUGUCCACAGACGAUACUCUUAUUGAUUUGAGAUUUUUCGAUAGUCAGAUUUAUUUUACUGUGGAGCAAGAAGAUCACUGUACCAUUCUUUUUAAGUCUUGAUGAAGAUUGCCAGGCAUUGCGGAGAUCAGGUUCACUUUCAAGUACUAAUGAUAGUCGCUGUUUGUUUGUGCUGCGAGAAUUUUCAGAAUGGAGGCGGAAGGUCUUAGAAAAUCUAGAAAUUCAUCAAAGUUUGGGACACAGACAACACUAUAAAUCCAACUUACAAUAAUAUCAGCACAUUAUGCGUUAAAAUGAUUGCACUAGGAAUUUCGGUAAGUAAACAAGCAUUAGUUUAAUUACAUUAAAGGUUGUAAUGCAAAU